rnacentral:rRNA from 1 species
AGUCGAGCGGUAGAAUUAUUAUUGAGUCUUCGGAUGAUUUAAUAAUUUGAGAGCGGCGAACGGGUGAGUAACACGUUGGUAUCUGCCCCCAAGUCAGGGAUAGCCAUUGGAAACGAUGAUUAAUACCGGAUAGUCUCUUCGGAGUAAAGAUUUAUUGCUUGGGGAGGAACCUGCGUUCUAUCAGCUAGUUGGUGAGGUAAAAGCUCACCAAGGCUAUGACGGAUACCUGGUCUGAGAGGAUGAUCAGGCACAAUGGAACUGAGACACGGUCCAUACUCCUACGGGAGGCAGCAGUGAGGAAUCUUCCACAAUGGGCGAAAGCCUGAUGGAGCGACACCGCGUGAAGAUGAAGCUAACGGUUGUAAACUUCUUUUCUGAAGGAGCAUAAUGAGAGUACUUC